rnacentral:rRNA from 1 species
UACGAAGGGGGCUAGCGUUGCUCGGAAUCACUGGGCGUAAAGGGUGCGUAGGCGGGUCUUUAAGUCAGGGGUGAAAUCCUGGAGCUCAACUCCAGAACUGCCUUUGAUACUGAAGAUCUUGAGUGCGGGAGAGGUGAGUGGAACUGCGAGUGUAGAGGUGAAAUUCGUAGAUAUUCGCAAGAACACCAGUGGCGAAGGCGGCUCACUGGCCCGAUACUGACGCUGAGGCACGAAAGCGUGGGGAGCAAACGGG